GGUUGCGAUCAUACCAGCACUAAUGCACCGGAUCCCAUCAGAACUCCGCAGUUAAGCGUGCGUUAAGCGUGCUUGGGCGAGAGUAGUACUAGGAUGGGUGACCCCCUGGGAAGUCCUCGUGUUGCAACCC
rnacentral:rRNA from 1 species